AGCCCGCCGCCGAUCGAUCGCCGCUGCCGCUUUCCGACUGGGAGCGGGCUCGAGGCGCGGUGGCCCGGGUUGGAAGGGACACUCCCGGGUGCGCGUUCCCAGUGGAGCGAAACCUGAGGCACACCGGGCUCUACCGAGUCCCCCGCGCCGGCGUCUGGGAGGGUGGAGCGCCUGCGCCGCGGGAUCGCAGACCGCGGGAGAGGCCCCCGAGGUGUCCCGCCAGCGGAGCUCCCAGCAGCAUCCCCCAAGGAGCUCCGGAGUCUGUCUUCCAAUCAACUCUGGCGUGUCCCCCGAGAAAGCAGCCCUGGGCCUCCUGGGGGAGCGGGGAGAACCUGUGAAGGGCCUCUUCCUGCUCUCCUGUGAUGGUCAGAACCACCUUUCUCUCUGGGGAGAAGUUUCUUGCUGGAAGUAGAGUCAAGUGGCCUGGGAAGGUGGAAGCUAGGUUAAAUCGUGAUGGCUGGGGCCAUCCACCUUGGGGCCACCGGGGAGAAGAAACCAGAUGUCCUGCUGAGGGCAUCCUGGGGCCAGUGGCUGGAAUGUCUUGGAGAAGAUAGAUGCCUAGAGGAGAUGGGAAAGGGAGGAAGGACAGGGGCCAGGUGUCUGAACGGUAGAUGCUCCUCACACGUGAAGCCCAGCAGCACUGGAGGCUUCUGUGUUCAGGGUGGAGGUGGACACCUGGGCUGGAGGUGACAGCCCCUGUCCAGACCCCAUUGGACCCAGCUGGGCCUUUGUCAGGUGCUCCACCCAUGUGUACCUGAUGAACAUAUUCCAAGAGAUGCCUUCCGACACCUGGGGUCCUGGUAGAACACAGGACCCUUGCUGUAAGGUGAGGAAGGGGCCGCAGCCCUGCGUGUGUACUCAGGAAACGGGAUGAGAUCAGGGGCAGGGAGCAGAAGGGUUCCAAGAUUAGAGCAGGCGGCUGCUUUGAAAAGCACUGAAAGUAGAACUUUCUGUUCAUGGAAAGGGAGGUCACAUUUCAAGCUGAAGAGUCAAGGGGUGGUCUGUGUGUACCCUAGGGUGUGAGUGACUUGAUCUGGGAGUGGCGUAGCACUGGAGGGCCUGUGUGUGUGUGUGUGUGUGUGUGUGUGUGUGUGUGUGUGUGUGUGAGCGUGUGUGUGGUAGGGAUGGUGGUGGAUGGAGUUACAGGAGGGAAGUAGGUGAAAAUUUGGUCUGUGUGUGUGUGUGUGCGUGUGCGCGCGCGCGCGUGCAUGUGUGUGUGGUGGGGUGUUAGAAGAGGAAAGUAGGCCAGAUGAGGGUUUGGGCUGUAUGCUAAACCACAGUGGGCCGUGCUGGGCUCAUAGAGAAGGGCAGGUGGAGAUUUCCUGGGGCCUUGGAACCCCUGGCUGGGUGUUUUUGGCGCCCACCACCUCCUUCCAGCUUUUCCUUAUGGCACUCACUGAGACAGACCUGGCCAUUCACCUUGAAGAGAGCUGUAGCCACAUUAACUUCCCCAAAACACUCAGACUGGAGGAGAGGGUCUGUGAAGCCUGGGGUUCAGAGUCCUGCUUCAGGGCAGAACCAGGUCCUCUCAUCCCCAUCUGGCCCUCAGAGGGAGUGGAUAAUAUAAUGAUGGCCCCACAGUGGGGGUCUGGACAUUGGUUCCGUGUGCAGGGUGCUCUCAGGCUCUCGGUGAGCUGGGGCAGGCUUUCUGAACCCUGGCCAGGUUUCCACAGGACUCUUACUGUCGUAAGCCCCCCAAUGUGCUCGGCCCAGCAGUGGCCAGGUGUGGUGGCACACCUGUAGUCUUGUCACCCGGAGGCUGAAGCAUGAGGAUGGUGCGUUUAGGGCCAGCCUGGGCUAUGCCAUAAGUUCUGCGUCCCUUCUUGUUAUCUCCCUCAACACCUCCCCUCCCCCAGCCCCCUUUGGUCUUCUUCCUGUCUCAUAGGUUUGGAUUCAAACUCUAGCCACAGAUAGUAGUGAUCUCAAACAGGCUGUUUAACCUCCAGCUUUUUUUUUUUUAAGACAGGGUUUCUCUGUGUAGCUUUGGUGCCUGUCCUGGAUCUCGCUCUGUAGACCAGGCUGUCCUCGAACUCACAGAGAUCUGCCUGGCUCUGCCUCUCGAGUGCCAGGAUUAAAGGUGUGCGCCGCCACCACCUCGAUACCUCCAGCUUAUUGUCUCAUAGAGACACCUAAGAGAUGUCAUGAGGUCUUCUGAGACAGAGAAGCAUCUGGCAGGUGAUCUACCUUGGUCUCUGAGCUCACUCCUCAGUGCCCUGAGGUCUCCUGUCCCCUCUUCUCCACAGUAUCCAGUCCCCUCCAGGGUCUCCUAAUCCCCUCAUGGGCUCUCUGUACAGUAGGCCUCUGAGGACCAGGAAAUCCCACUCCCUCACUACAGCCCAGCACCCCAGUGAAGCAGUGGUGUGUACUGAGAUGAAUGAGCUGGAGAAGGAAGAGUCGGGGUCCCAAUUCCAGUCCCCAAAGGCAGUUCUGUGCCUCAGUUUCCCCUCAACAGGCCCACCAAUGAUCAGGCACUAUUUAAAUGUAUCCUGUAAAACUGUGGGAGACACUCCAUGACUAUGGUGGUUUGAAUGAGAACGGUCCCAUAGCCUCAUAUACUUGAAAACUUAGUCCCCAGCUGGGAGGAGUGGGGUCAGGAAGUGGGGUUUCCAGGUCCUCAGAUGUGGGGAGAUGGACACUCUGUCCCACUGUAUGGAAGAGAAGCUGGUACCACUCUCAUGAAGAGCAAAAUUGGUAGUGGUGUAUCAGGUCGUAACAAUGUGUGAUUGUGCCCCUGCAGUUGAAGUUUUAGGAACAAAUCAGGGUGAGCACAGAGGUGUCCACUGAGGACGCCUGUCAUUAUUCAUUGGAGAAAGUGGCCAGAGCCAGUUUGAAGCAGCUGUGGACACAUGCACUGCCAGAGGUGGUUUACCCGCCACACAGGUGUCCCCUGCAGACUGUGUGAUGACAGGUAUGUGGUGACAGGUAUGUGGUGACAGUGGUGGUGACGGCUGGCAGGUAUGUGGCAUUCUCCGCUUGUUCGGGCGCAGUCUGAGGUGCCAUCACGUGAGCAGCGUCCUUCCCCUUUUAAGGGAACUGAGGCACAAAACAGAAAAAUCACUUCCAGGAGGUUACGUAGAGGACUGGCUGGACUUCAGCCAGGAGAGCUACUCUAGAGUCAGAGACGUUUCCUUAGAACCCCAUUUCCUGUGUUAAAAAGUAGCAUUUUCAUUUUCAAGGCUGGAGCUCUUUAGCCCCAAAACAAAGCUUUUUCGGGGUGGUUAUGGGCAUUGAAAAAGCCAUGGUGAGUAGAUGGCAGAAAUCACGGCGCCUUUCCUCUGUCUCCCAGGACGUACACAGUUUUUACUACUUCUUUCCUCAUUUUUCUGGUGAAUGCAUGUUACAUGAACAUCAAGUUUACCUUUUUUUUUAAAGGCAGACUCUUUUGUAGCUCAGGUUGGCCUUGAACUUAGUAUAAACUGAAGAUGACCUUGAUAUUCGGAUCCUCCUGCCUCCACUUCCCAAGUGCUGGAGUUAUGAGAGUGUGCCACCAUGUCCCGUUGGUAUGGUGCUGGGGAUUGAACCCAUGAUUUAAAUUCACACCAGGCAAGCCCUGUACCAACCGAGCAGCAUCCCCAGCACUUAAGUUCUGCUCUUGCAAACUGAGAACUAGCCAGGCAUGACCGUUCACACCUGUGAUCCUAACACUUAGGAGGCUGAGGGAAGAUGGUAGGUUUGGGCUAGCCUGGGUUACAGAGGGAGAUAGCCUCAACAAAAAUAAAAAUACAGAUAAAUAAAACUGAAAACUCGCAGAUUCAGGAGAGAAGUGUGAGGGCUGUGGUUCCAAGGAAGCUCGUCCGGCAAGCUCAGAGAGAGUGCUAGAUCUGUCUUGCUGAGGGGGAGAUCUAGGGAUGAAGUCGGUCUAAGGGCAUGUGUGAGCUGGCCUUCCAGAACUGAGGGGGAAAAGAUUCUGCAGCCAAGUGAGCAUCCCAGGCAGAGGUAGAGCUACAGUAUGCAUUUUCCUACUUUCCGCCUCAUAGCAUAAAUACAUACCUCAGUUUCCCCUUUAUGUAUUCAGGGUGUACUAGCCAGAAGAAUGGCCCUAAGCGGGUAUUUUGACCUUAGUCCUUCGAACCUAGGAAGGUUAGCAUACAUACUAAAGGGACCAUGCUGAUGAGAUUGAAGAUUUCAUCUGGAGAAAGUUCCUGGAUUAGCAGGUGGGCCCUCUGUGUACCUACUCCCCCCUACCCCCCGUAAGAGGUGGGCAGAAACUGUCCUAAUACAGAAACAGAGGCCCAGAGCAAGCUGCUCUGCUGUUGGCCAGGUGAUAGGGAGGGCCACCGAGCCAAGAUGGGAGGAGCACUGCCUGGAGGAAGGGAGGAGUCUGCCUCCCAGACCCCUUGACUUCACCCAGCAGUGCUGAUUGCAGGGCUUCAGCCCUCCAGAACUGUGAGGGAGUCAAGUUCAGGUCAUGAAAAUUCAUCUUGAUGACGCCACCAAGAUAAUGAAGAUUUAUCAGACCUGGUACUGGAAAGUGACCUUCUGCGGAGAAGGUGGGCAGGUCCCUCAGGGUUGGGGACUGCCGGGAUGCUUCCCAUCAGCCCUGGCUGUAUGACCUGGAGCUGAGCUUGACUGUACCCCGAUGUAGUCCUCGGCUCAGCUGAGAAAGCUCCAUGGAAGCCUGAAUUGGCUGUGUGCAUCCACCCUGUCUGCCACACCCUAGUCCCCUCAGGUACAGAAGAAUGUGUACACACACACACACACACACACACACACACACACACACACACACACACAGAGAGAGAGAGAGAGAGAGAGAGAGAGACAGACAGACAGACAGACAGACAGACAGAGACAGAGAGACAGACAGACAGAGAUAGAGAGACCCACACUCUUCCUGGCUCUUAAGCCUUUGAAGUCCAAUCUUUGGAUGAAAUGUCUGCUGCAGAGUGACUGAUGGAACACACAUCUUUGGGACAUACCAGCUUCUUCAGCCCACUUCAGGCAGGUAGCAGGGUUGGUACUAUGCCUGUGGGUGUGCCCCAUCCAAGGCAGGUGGGAAGAGACAGGGGCCUCAGUCACUUUGGAGGACACAGAGGAAAUACUGGGUGUCUUUCUCCAGAGUAUGGGCAUGGCCCCAUAGCUGAGUCUAGUGUUUGUAACCUUCAGGCCAUACUCUGUAUCCAACAUUGUUUCCCCAUGACUCUGGUGGCCAGACCUUGGGUACCAGAAAUGGCUUUUAGCAGUGUUAACCCCUUGAUACGCUGUGGUGGAUGUGCCUGGUAGGCUGGGGUGGGGCCAGGACCCUUCCCGUGGUGAGGUGAUCCUUGUAGAUAAUGCCCAAGCCUGCUCCUCACCCACAUGGCAGGGUGCUAGGCUGUUGAUGCCAAAGCCUUCCCAGCUGUGGGGUGCUCUCUGGCACAUGACGGGGGUCAAAGUUGACUUGGGGGUUCACCACCAUGGCUCAGGAGGCACCUUUGGCAAUUCCUGUAUUUGAAGAGCCCUGUACUGUCCUAGAGUGGAUGGUGGUGUGCCCAUUGGAAUGUGGGGAGAACAGCCUCUCUCCAGGCCGGAAAGACCCCCUGAGCCCACUGUAUGACUGUGUGUGUGGUUUCCGUAGGGACAGAUGCUGAGCUUCACUUGGCCCUUUGAGCCCAGGACAGGGGGGACUUGGAAAGGCAAGUUGGGCUCCACUCUUGUUCAUUUGGUUGUUGGGACCGGCAGAUUCCUUAGGCCCUUCCUCAUGACGGAUCAUCCUCUGAUGCGCCCAGCAAGGAACUCUUCCCUGAGGAUUCCAACAAAAGCCUGCUCUGAGUGGAGGUCCGGCCUCACCCUGAGCCCUCUCUAAGACGUGGCCGUGUGCCCCAUCCACUUGGCUUCCAUAGAACAUCACUCUGGUCCUCAUACUCACCUGUGGACUCUGUCUGGUCUCCGAGUUCAUGUUGGAAGCGCCAGCCUCCCGAAGACCUGGGUACACACUCCACUCUUCUUCAUUUUUCUGCCCUGUCUCUCCUCCACCUGGCCCAUGUCUGAAAACAGACACCUUCCCCUUCCCCUGGCCUCUUCUCCCCAAGAUUUUCCCAGUGACCCAGAACAAGUGUCAAGCCACCCUGCCCUCUGCCUACCCCCCCCCCCCCCCCCCCGUGUCUUUCAUAUCUGAAGGCCCUGCUGUUUCUGCUUAAAGCACCCGGCUCAGAGGGCUUCUUUCAUCCCAUCUGGUCUCAUACUUUCUGUGUAGCUGAGGAUGAUCUUGAACUUCUGAACUUCGGCCUCUACCUCCCAAGUGCUGGGGUUAUAGGAGCCACCUCGGGGCCCUGCCUCAGUUUCUCUAUCAGCUUUCAAGGCUGAUGUGACUGGCUCUACUCCGCCUUUUCUGCUCAUGCCCUGUCCUCUCCCCCACUGCUCUGCUCCAAUUGCCUGUUUCCUUUCCUUGAACCCACCAAGCAGACAAGCACUCACCUUUGACCUUGGUUGUUCCUCUAUCUUGGAUGCUCUUCCCAGACUCCCAGGCCUUCUUCUUGCCUUCCUCAAGCCUUUGCUUAUGUCUCUUCAGCAAGGUGACACCUCUAACCACCCUGAUUUAAACUGCAACCCCCAGUCCGCACUCUGUCCCUUCCGUGGCCUCCAUCUGCAAAAGCACACAGAUCUGACAGUUGUUUGCUCUGCUCCAGCCCCACACAGGUUGGAAUCUGUUGUCAGUGUUUUCUCCCUAGUUCCUGAGACAGGGCCUGAAGCCUACAGGUCUCGUAUCUCUUACAUGACUGAGACCAAAGAUGGUUCAGAUUUCAGAGUUCUUAGAAUUGGGGAUGUUUGACUGUUCUCAUGGAGCAUCCCUGGCCACCGAACCCAGGGUCUGCAAUGCUCAGAUUAAAACUUUGAGUGUGGGGUGGGGUGAUCGUGUGUGUGUGUGUGUGUGUGUGUGUGUGUGUGUGUGUGUGUGUGUGUGUGUGUAUCACACGCCUUUAACCCUAGUGCUCGGGAGGCAGAGGCAAGCAGAUCUCUGUGAGUUGGAGGCCAGCCUAGUCUACAGAGCGAGUGCCAGGACAGCCAGAGUUACACAGAGAAACCCUGUCUCGGAGAGAGGGAAAAAAAACUUAAAAACAAAACCUUGACUGUCAUGUGGAUGUUCAGAGAACAAUAGACCUCAAAUGAUGCCCUCCAAAGUUUCCAAGUUUAACUGGAUGAGGUGGCACACACAUGUGACCGUCCCUGGGCAGCCGAGGCAGGAUGGAGAGGUCAAGGUCAUAUCUCAGAGCAUUGCAGGCCUUCACAUUUGUGAGGUCCACCAGUGACCUGUGCCCAGAUUAUGUCUGGCCGGUGAAUGGCUUGGGUCACCUGCUCACCACUGGGCCACCAUCAUCCCUACCUAAAGCACGUAGAUUAAGGAUUUCAGACCCUCCAAGGGAGGCAUGGAUGCUGCCACAUGAGGAGAUGACACAGGUGGCAUCCUCCUACAGACCGGGCACUUGAGAGGAGGAGGCUGGCAGGUGGUUGGCGCCGUGCGGUCCUUUUCCGUGGGACAUCGAUUUCUAAAGUGCUAAUUAAACAGGUGGUUUGGAGAGGCCUUGGUGAGGAAAAUGCCCUUAGGAAGGUGUGUGUCAGCCUCUGUCCUGAGAGCGUGUUACAGAAUCUGGGCUAGGGGAGGUCUGCUGCCUCAGCUUAUCACCUUUCUGAAUCCUGCACCAGGAUCCGGGACAAGUGUGUCUUGGUUUCUGGGAAAUUCGCCAGGCCGGGCAGACACAGCUGAGUUGAGUGGGAUGCCUGUGCUGAGGAACUUUGAGAAUCUGUGACGAAAGCGCCAAACGAAGCUUUGAACUCGGGUAGGUCGCGGUUACCCGUGCGGGUGCCAACCAGUGCAGUCCUGUGAGCUGUGGGCCAGGGAUGGGAGCUCAAGACCCCCGGAGAGAAUGUCAGCAGGGGACUGUUGUUGCUGUGGGGAUGUAGUGGGUGGGAGACUGCCGUGGGCUGACUGCAGGACCAGGAGCAUGGGCACUUCCUGUGUGCAUGUGGAAAAGGCCCGCCCGUUCCCUCCCUGUGACCUCUUUGUGCAUGUAGGGUGGGUCUCUUCGCCAAGAAAAAUUGUCUCAAACGUACAUUAGUGUCAACUGUAUGUGACAGAAACCCGAUGACAGUCACAGAUGAAGCAGAUUGUCCCCCUCUUCCACACGGGGCCUGGAUUCCUAGUUACCUGUGUUGCUUGGGUGCUGCUCUAUCUAUUGCCCCUGUCAUUCCUCGCAUCCUGCCUCUGCAUCCAAGGUGGCUGCUCAAGCUCCUGCCAUCAUAUCUGCGUUCUAGCCAACCGGCAGAAAGAGCCAAAGCCCGGUUUAUCUCGGGCCAGUGAGAUGAUGGUUCACUGGAUAAAGGCAUUUGUCGCGGGGCCCGAUAACCUGAGUUCCAGCCACCGAAACCCGAGAACUGACUCCCACAAAGUGUCCUCUGACCUUCACAAGCAGGUUAUAGCACGUGCACACCCAUCCAUGCACACACCAAAACAAAACAACGAUAUACCUCAUCCUUAAAGAAUGCUACGCCCAAGUCGCAUGCUACACACUCAGAUGUUACAUCUCACGGUCAUGAGUAUCAGUCCCAUUGCCCACCUGCUCAUCUAAAAUUCUGGGACCUCUCAGUGAGGAAAGGGGGACAACGGGUAUCGGGUUGGCAUCAUCUCUGCUGAAGCGGGACCCUGCUUGGGCUCCACACAGUUGCUGCCAGUGGAUGUGGUUAGGAUUUCUGUUCCCUGUGCCCUGGGUCUAGGGACUAGAAGGUUCCUGCCUGGAGCUGUGUUGUCUAGAGGAACGGAGUCACACAGUGGUGCUGUGCCUCCACUUCCAGCUUCAGAGAGAGCCGCUGGCCAUCUUGAGCGCAUGCUUGAAAUCUGGCCACCUCUGAGGCUGGGAGCACCCCACAGUUCAUGGCAAGUUGGCAGCACAGCUCGGCUGCCCUUGCUGUCUCAGGAGCCUGGAGAUAGUAGAGCGGUGUCAGCAGCACAGUGUGCUCUGGAGAAUGCUGCUGCAGAGACCGGGAUGGCAGGCGGGGACCAGCAGCAGUGAGAGGACCCGAGGCAGGGAUUGGAGGGCAAGGAAGCUGAAGCCAUUUAUGUCCCCGUUUUCUUCGGAGGCCUGUGAGGGAGCUGGAUUGUUUGUUUGGUUUGCUUUGGUCUCUCUAUGUGGCUCUAGCUGUCCUGGAGUUCACUCUGUAGACCCGGCUGGCCUCAAAUUUGCAGAGAUCCUCCGGCCCCUGCUUCUGAGUGCUGGGAUUAAAGGCAGGCACCACGCCCAGCCGAGGGAGCUGUUAUUAAAAGUCAAUCUUAAAGUUCCAAACAGUCCGCUGUGAUUUCAAAGACAAAUCCAUGAGUGGUGAGAACUCACAAUGGACUGGGAGACACCCCACAAGUGAGGACCAGAGUUCAGCCCCCCAGAACCCGUGGAAAUGCUGCCAUCUGUAAUCCUAAGGAAGCAAAAAGAUUUGCAGAGUAAGCUGCAUGACUGAGAUGGGAACUCCAAGUUUAGGGGAGACCCUACCUUGAUGUGUGAGGUGGAGCACCAUCAAAGAGAACACCUGAUGUCACCUUGAUCCUACACACACACACACACACACACACACACACACACACACACACACACACACACACACACGUCCCUCAUCUUGUAGGCGACAAUUCUAAAUCUUUUUGUACCUGAUGAAAUAAAACAUGAUGGAUCCCCCAGCAUGCACAGGCCCCAAGUUUGAUUUUCAGCACUGACAAAGAAAAGGAUAAUAUAAGCCAGAUUUCUCACCAUUUGAUAAAGGAAAGAAGCUCGAUUAAAUCUGUGGUGGUGUCCAACUGUACUUAAAGGAGUUAGAAGUCUAGUUCCAGGCUCCUUGUAUGGUCACAGGAGGAUGGAUGUAGAGCAAACGUUCAUGUUAGUACCGUACAUCCCCUGGCUCUGGGCAGAUAGGACCUGGAGCAGUGAUACUUGUUUCCACAUCCUGCUUCCUAAACCGCAUCCUCUGUAACAACAGCCUGGGACCCUGGAGAAGAAGGUGCCAUGGGGCAUGCAGAGAACCCUAGAGAAGUAUGUGCAGUGCCAAAUGCAGCCGGACAGUUAGUGGUUGCUCAAAACGUGAUGGGUUCGUGUUGAAAGGACAAAGUGCCAACUGAGAAGGGAUGCGAGGUGGCCAAACAGAAUUUAUGUUCUGUGGAAUCAAUCUCUAAGAGUCUGUUGUGGUAUGGUGAAAUGAUGGGAUGGAUAGCUACAUGGAGGAGAAAGGGUAGCCCUUUCUCACAGACUCCCAGCUAGCAACUGGACAGAAGGAUGGAAAUAGAAAAUUAUCAUUUGACCAACGCCACAGUAAGAAUUGUGGACAAGAGUCAUCAAGGGCUACUAAAAUUAGCCUGGGAAAGCAUGAGAAGAAAGGGGGUGUUGGCGGAGUACCUUCCUGUGUGAUAACCAGUUACAAAGAGAGAUAGUUCCAGCAGCAGAGAAGCCCAGCAGGUGACACCUCCCAUCCACGAUCAAGGUCGCCAGCCCCUGUGGCGGCGGCUCGGAGCAGCACCAUGAGUCCACUGGCCAGGCAGGUCUGAGCCCGCACGCGGUUUCGCCUCUGUCCUUGCCCCAAAUGCCUGACAUUGAACCUAAUCAAGAUCGAGCACAGACUGAGGGCAUUGUUCAAGUUCACUGACCAGACUUUCUUCCAGAGUGUCACAGUUAGGAAAAACCAAGGAUGGGGCCUGUGCCAGCUGGAGAGUGAGGAGCCGUGACAGCCAAGUGUUACUAGGUCCUGAACCCCCGCACCCCAGCAUCAGGCCUGCUGACAGCGCGGUACCCAUGCUGUCUUUCAUAUCUCUUCCAACUAUAUUUGUGCCUCCAUAGCAUGAGACCAUUGUGGGAAGCUGGGCCAAAGGUGUGCAUGGGAAGUUCUGGAGUGUGUGUGUGUGUGUGUGUGUGUGUGUGUGUGUGUGUGUGUGUGUGUGUGUUAUAGUUUAUCUGUAAGAUAAAGUGGGGGAAACACUAUGGUUUAUUGCAAGUGGUUUUUGUCCUCAUCGAUGUGUAAAAUGUGUUGCCUAUGAUCCAGUGGUGUCUUAGAGGAGAUGAAAUUUGAUAUAUGGAAUAGAAACCUGUUUGAUCACCUCCAAACCAACACCCUUCCUGACAGGUGAAUUGUUACUUUACCUGGAGUCAUGUGCGGAUUUCGUUUUGAUUUUGCUGACACAGGCACCUGCUUGGUGCAUAUUUCUUACAUAAAUGGGAUUUUUUUUUUUUUUUGGUUUUUCGAGACAGGGUAAAUGGGAUUUUUUUUUUAUACUUACUGUGUGGCACAUCCUUGUCCCUAACUGUGUGUUUCAGAGUGACGCUGUCUUUUUUAGGGUUGCAUGACAUCCUAAGCGUGGGUGCUCUCUAUGUAAGUGGUCUUCCGUUCUCGUGAACUGCUUGAGCAUUUUCAUUCUUCUAGCAGAGUUUGGGGGUCCUCAGAUACGUCUCUCAGCACACCUAUGGCAUUUCCUUUAGGCUUUGUACCCAGCCGCAGAAUUACAGCGUUGGCAGGCUACCAGGCUGCCCCCAGCAGUCCCCUCCCCGCCCUGGAGGCCUCACUGACAGGAACUAACAUCGUCUUCCAGUUUGUAGCCAAUGAAGAACAUGAUAAUGGCUGGGGUCGGGGAGCAGACACUUGUAGGAACCCCGUGAGAAAGCAGGAGAGCAGGUCUCUUUCAGGUCUAGAACAAACCCAGGGGCAGCAGUUAGAGGGGAAACUGGAAAGCCAGCCAGAGAAGAAGCAUCCUAUGUCCUCAGGUCCAGCCUGCAUCUCCCCAGGGAGGUGGAACCCCUGCUGCAUGGGGACGUUCCCGGACCCUCCCCGGGUUCACAGCACCUUCCCUGGAGCACGCCUCUCCUUCCAUGCUGUCUUCAUUAGUGAGAUGGAGACACUGAAGAAGGGUUCCCACCCUCUGUGGUCAGGAUAGGGAAAAGGGGCAGGCAGCAUCCAGGGGGGAUGGCUCCGCCCCCUAAUGAGAAGAAAGGGGGUGGUUCUGGGGUUCAGGGUCAGGUGUGGUUGGAGCAGUGGGGGACCCUGGACCAGCCACAUCUGGAAGGGUGUUGGGAUGUGCAGGUUUGGUGGCUGUCCUUGUGACCUCCUUCCCUGUGCUGGGGACCCCUCCCCCGAGGGCUGUUGGCCUUCUGGUGUUUGUUCAUUUGGCUAUUCUUGUGAUGAUAGGCCUUGUAACUGUCAGGAAUGCAGCACAGCUGGGCAGCAGGGACUGGCCUUGAUCUUGACUGGCCAGGUGCCCUCGUAGGUGGAAAACAGACGCCUCCCUCAGUCCUCUCUUCCGCCUUGGCGUCCCUGGAACACCUGGACGUCGUUUGUCGUUUGUCGCCUUGACGCUGCUCAGGAAGUAGAGAUCCCCUCCGGAUGGGCACCGCACAGCUACAGCCCAGCCCAGCAUGGCCUCAUGCAGCUGCGGUCUCUGCAGCCCCACCCCACCCCCUAAGCUUUCCAUGGUGGGCAAUGGAGGCCACAGCUCCUCUGCAUGACAGCGGCCUCCUUGUGAUCUGUCCACACAAAGCCGGGCAGUGAGUGAUGGCGGACACUGCCCAGCACUGUAGGGACCAUGGCGUGGCCUGACCACUGUAAGUGGGAGGGUUGGGGGCCACCCCAGCCCUGUUUCGAUUGAAGGCUCCACAAGCCUCUAGGGAAUGAGUGGUCUAGAGGAAAAAGAGCAGAGGGGAGAGAAUAUGGUGGCAUUUUCAGGCCCCAGGGCUGCCUGUCAUCCACCUGCUUCACUCAGAUCUCAACCGGGCUCCACCAGGAAGACAUACUUCCUCCACCACCCAGCUGCUGGGGGGGGGGGGGAUGUAACCUCCUGAGGAAGAAUGUCCUUUGCUGCCCUCAGGGAAAUGUCACUCUAGCCUCUGCCGGACAGCGCCC